GACAUAGACACCUAGGAGUUUGAAUUUGAUAGUUCCAAUAGAAACACUUGCUACAGAUAAAUAACUUUUAGUAAGGAAACGUCUGAAUGAACAUGCUCUUGUCGGCAAGUUAUUAUCGAUCUUACAGCGGCUUCCCUCCUUCCACUUGUCCCAGAUCACCUUUUAAGUUUUGUCUUGCCUAUACAAAAAUAUUUGAGAACCCUUGCAUAAGAAACAAAUGAAAUCAAGAGAACAAAUAUACAACUGGAAGACAACAUCUUCUUAUCAGAAAGAAUUUACAAGAAACAAAUGAAAACAUGAUAGUUCGAAUCAGAAAUAAAACCGGCUAUAACUAAAAAAACUAAUGUGGCAUGAACAAACAAAGCAAAGGACAAUGCAAAUGCCUAAUACUGUCAAGGUAUACAGCGGAACAUGUAGUACAAAGCAUCAGUUUGACAUAGUACUACCCUGACACGGAAAAUCAUAGUGCUUUUCUCAGAAUAUAGUGAAGGAUUAAACGAUUACUGUGUUGAUUUGAUCUGUCUUGCCUUAUCAAAAACAGAGGGCAAAGCAAAUACACAUGCCAGACAAGGAACAGAUGGUUGCCAUUCCUUAAAACAGAAAAUCUCAACCUUUAGAAAUGACAGCCUGCCUUUCCUCCUGUCAUCAUCAUGUCAAUUAAUUCACAGUAAAGAAAGUUAUGCACAUGCAUAUCAUGGAAAUCUUGUGAUGGUGCAACAAUUAUGUAUGUAUAUUAGGGACAUGGUAGAUUACUCUUUGUAAGCAAUGAUAGCAGGCAAAAAAUGCGCUCUUCUAAUUUUGAAGCG
rnacentral:lncRNA from 1 species